rnacentral:tRNA from 1 species
AUUUAAAUAGCUUAAUUUAAGAGCAUAGUAUUGAAGAUACUAAGGUAAUUUCUAUAUUUUUAAAUA